UUCCGGUUGAUCCCGCCGGACCUGACUGCUAUCGGAUUGAUACUAAGCCAUGCGAGUCAUUGUAGUAAUACAAGGCAGACGGCUCAGUAACGCGUAGUCAACCUACCCUAUGGACGGGGAUAACCUCGGGAAACUGAGAAUAAUACCCGAUAGAACAUUAUGCCUGGAAUGGUUUAUGUUUCAAAUAAUUUAUCGCCGUAGGAUGGGACUGCGGCCUAUCAGUUUGUUGGUGAGGUAAUGGCCCACCAAGACUAUUACAGGUACGGGCUCUGAGAGGAGUAGCCCGGAGAUGGGUACUGAGACACGGACCCAGGCCCUAUGGGGCGCAGCAGGCGAGAAAACUUUGCAAUGUGCGAAAGCACGACAAGGUUAAUCCGAGUGGUUUGUGCUAAACAGACCUUUUGUUAGUCCUAGAAACACUAACGAAUAAGGGGUGGGCAAGUUCUGGUGUCAGCCGCCGCGGUAAAACCAGCACCUCAAGUGGUCAGGAUGAUUAUUGGGCCUAAAGCAUCCGUAGCCGGCUCUGUAAGUUUUCGGUUAAAUCUGUAUGCUCAACAUACAGGCUGCCGGGAAUACUGGAGAGCUAGGGAGUGGGAGAGGUAGACGGUACUCGGUAGGAAGGGGUAAAAUCCUUUGAUCUAUUGAUGACCACCUGUGGCGAAGGCGGUCUACCAGAACACGUCCGACGGUGAGGGAUGAAAGCUGGGGGAGCAAACCGGAUUAGAUACCCGGGUAGUCCCAGCUGUAAACUAUGCAAACUCAGUGAUGCAUUGGCUUGUGGCCAAUGCAGUGCUGCAGGGAAGCCGUUAAGUUUGCCGCCUGGGAAGUACGUACGCAAGUAUGAAACUUAAAGGAAUUGUCGGGGGAGCACCACAAGGGGUGAAGCCUGCGGUUCAAUUGGAUUCAACGCCGGAA
rnacentral:rRNA from 1 species